CCUACGGGUGGCAGCAGUGGGGAAUAUUGCACAAUGGGCGAAACCCUGAUGCAGCGACGCCGCGUGAGUGAAGAAGUAAUUCGUUACGUAAAGCUCUAUCAGCAGGGAAGAAAAUGACGGUACCUGAGUAAGAAGCCCCGGCCAAAUACGUGCCAGCAGCCGUGGUAAUACGUAGGGGGCAAGCGUUAUCCGGAUGUACUGGGUGUAAAGGGAGCGUAGACGGUUCGGCAAGACUGGAGUGAAAUGCCGCGGCUGAACUGCGGAACUGCUUUGGAAACUGGCGAACUAGAGUGCGGUAGGGGUGAGCGGAAUUCCUGGUGUAGCGGUGAAAUGCGUAGAUAUUAGGAGGAACACCGGUGGCGAAGGCGGCUUACUGGACCGUAACUGACGUUGAGGCUCGAAAGCGUGGGGAGCAAACAGGAUUAGAUACCCGUGUAGUC
rnacentral:rRNA from 1 species